rnacentral:rRNA from 1 species
AUUGAACGCUGGCGGCAGGCUUAACACAUGCAAGUCGAGCGGGGGAGGUUGCUUCGGUAACUGACCUAGCGGCGGACGGGUGAGUAAUGCUUAGGAAUCUGCCAUUUAGUGGGGGACAACAUUCUGAAAGUAAUGCUAAUACCGCAUACGUCCUACGGGAGAAAGCAGGGGAUCUUCGGACCUUGCGCUAAAUGAUGAGCCUAAGUCGGAUUAGCUAGUUGGUGGGGGAAAGGCCUACCAAGGCGACGAUCUGUAGCGGGUCUGAGAGGAUGAUCCGCCACACUGGGACUGAGACACGGCCCAGACUCCUACGGGAGGCAGCAGUGGGGAAUAUUGGACAAUGGGCGGAAGCCUGAUCCAGCCAUGCCGCGUGUGUGAAGAAGGCCUUAUGGUUGUAAAGCACUUUAAGCGAGGAGGAGGCUACUAGUAUUAAUACUACUGGAUAGUGGACGUUACUCGCAGAAUAAGCACCGGCUAACUCUGUGCCAGCAGCCGCGGUAA